rnacentral:rRNA from 1 species
AUUGAACGCUGGCGGCAGGCCUAACACAUGCAAGUCGAACGAGUGGCGGACGGGUGAGUAGUGUCUGGGAAACUGCGCGAUGGAGGGGGAUAACUAGUGGAAACGGUAGCUAAUACCGCAUACCACCCGGUGUGCCGAGGGGGGAUUAGCUAGGCGGUGGGGUAAUGGCUCAUCUAGGCGACGAUCCCUAGCUGGUCUGAGAGGAUGACCAGCCAAACUGGAACUGAGACACGGUCCAGACUCCUACGGGAGGCAGCAGUGGGGAAUAUUGCACAAUGGGCGCAAGCCUGAUGCAGCCAUGCCGCGUGUGUGAAGAAGGCCUUCGGGUUGUAAAGUACUUUCAGCGGGGAGGCGUUACCCGCAGAAGAAGCACCGGCUAACUCCGUGCCAGCAGCCGCGGUAAUUC